rnacentral:rRNA from 1 species
AUGAGAAGAAUGCUACAGAAGGUUUGGAGACGGUUCGUAGAUACAAAGGUCGGUGAAUUUAAAAAAGAGCUAGAAUUCAAAAGGGCAAAGGCUAAGAAUGGUGAGGAUAUUCAGCCAGCGGGGACCAAUCUAUGUGCAUACUAUGUCUGUGAGAUAAUCCGGAGAUACACCUCUGAGCGGGUUCCGAGUGAUACCAAUGCUCAGAGGAAUAACCUCCGGAUGAUGCUUAGUCCAGAAGCUCGCUUCCGACCACUUCAAGAGGAACUAGCUGGAUGGUUCAGGAGGGAAGUCCUCCAUCCUAAAGGAGAACACCAUUACGAGGACGUAGAACUUUAUAUGCAUUAA